rnacentral:rRNA from 1 species
UACGGAGGGAGCUAGCGUUGUUCGGAAUUACUGGGCGUAAAGCGCGCGUAGGCGGCUAUUCAAGUCAGAGGUGAAAGCCCGGGGCUCAACCCCGGAACUGCCUUUGAAACUAGGUAGCUAGAAUCUUGGAGAGGCGAGUGGAAUUCCGAGUGUAGAGGUGAAAUUCGUAGAUAUUCGGAAGAACACCAGUGGCGAAGGCGACUCGCUGGACAAGUAUUGACGCUGAGGUGCGAAAGCGUGGGGAGCAAACAGGG